CAAUCUUAUUCAGAUCAAAGCCCCCACUUUUUAAAUAAUGAGAAGUUUGGAAAACAAAAAUCAAAGGGCAGCCUAUGAUUCACACACAGAAAUUUUAUAAAAACCACAAAAUCAAAAGGCCCUUAAUUGAGGCCUUUCAACCCAACCAAGUAUUCAUUCCAAGAUAAUUACUGCCAUAAAACCCUCUGCCACAGAGACACUGGACUAGAAAACCUUUGAAUUGCACACGGAACUUAAGGAAAGAGCUGGCUGGGAUGUAAUCCUGCUGAGACCUGAAAAGGAGAAGUUCUGGGGGGGAACCAAGCCUUCAGUGCAAGUCAUUCCUCUGUAAAAACAUGUCAUCAUUGAGAAGGCUCUACAACAAGAAAAGACUGGGGAAGAUCUGCCAGGAGCAAACCAGUUCUCUGAAUAUCUGCUACCUGGCAAUUAGAAGACAUCUCUGCAAAAGAGUGAACUCCGGAUCAAGCAGAAGUUUCUUGAUGUCACUGCAAAAGGAGAAAGAAACCCAUAAGAAAUC
rnacentral:lncRNA from 1 species